rnacentral:lncRNA from 1 species
AAUCCCGUUGGAAGUACAGUUAAUAUUGCUAACCUUCGCUCAUCCUUCAACGUUAAUUUAAAUUGAAAGGUUUCUCAAAUACAUUCAGUUACUUCUUCGAAGAGAUAAACAAAGUCAUGGUUUUAUACGCCAAAGUCAUGGUUUUAUACGCCAAAGUCAUGGUUUUAUACAUUGCGAAAUGUCGUACGAGUUAAAUAUUUGCACGAUAUUAACUCAUGGGGCACUUCUGACCAAUGGGAAUUUUGCGUACGCUCCGUACGCAUAAAUCGACUUUUUACUAAUAAAGGUCGCAGGCCGUACCUCCCAUGCAGCCUCUGCCUGACAACGGCCUGCGAGCAGGCUACGUUUUUACAAGCAAUUCGUCAUCAAUCACGCCAUCCUGACUAGUACAACCGGCACUUUGUACCUACCAAAACCUGAUAAAAACUUCCGGUUGUACUAGCCAGGAUGGCGUGAGCGUGUUAAAAUUUUCGUGGACGUAAAACAAUAAAGGAUUAAAGGAACCGACUCAAGUUACACUUCUGCUGUACCUUCCUAUUCUGUGGUAGUAUUGUUAAACGUGUAGAAAGUCAAAAGUCAAAGCGAUUGAGCAUGCAAGGCAAAACCCACAAAUAAAACGUAAUGUAACAAACUGAAUGGUCUGUAAUGUUAGUGUAAGGCAAUUAAAUAUUGCACACGCAAUGUUGUUGUUCGAAUAAAUACUAAGCAAGUAGCAUGCAAGUAGCAUUUCUUCUUUAAAAAUUACCUUAAACUUUAAAAUAUAGCUGGUCAAAGCACUUUUUCGUUUCUGAAAGUUUAAUUUUAAUAAAUUGGGCUUAAUUACAAAAGUAAAACUCAUGCUUUAACUUUAUAGCUGCGGAAAGUUAAAUUUAUAGCUGCAGAAAACUAAGUCUAUAGCCGUUGUUCUAGUGUGAAAUAUUAAUAUGAUACUUGUUAACUUAGUUUUCCGCGGACACAACUUUAAUUUUCCGCAGUCAUAUAGUUACAGGUUUUCCGCAGCAAUAUCAUUAUCGAAAAUAUCUUUGACAAGCUAUAUUUCAAGCUAUAUUUCAAAGUUUAAGGGAUUUUUAAAGAAAAAAAGAACAAAUUAUGCAUGCAUGCAUGACCCCUACAUGUGCUUGUUCAUUGAAGCUAGUUUGAUAUUGUUGUUAGGUGAGCCUUCAGUUCUUCCAUUUUGACGUUUACAGCAUUUACAAUAUUUACAAAUGAAAUAACCGAUGACGAGACAGACGGGUAAACUCAAACAUCCCAGAACAAUGGCAGCUAUUUCACCCUUCGACAAGUCUGCACCCCUUUCAGGUUCUGAAAAGAACAAAAAUAAUAUUACAUUGUAAUUCGUAACAGUAUUUUGGUGCGAAAUGGCAAUCCAUGUAUGUAUAUAUAGGGUUGUAUUCCGGUAACGGUUCGUUAGCAAAAAGGGACUUUUCCUGGGGGGCAAAAUGUUAUUUCAUGGGGGGGGGGGCACAAGGGGGGACUGGGGGAAUUUGCCCCCUCAGCUUGUAUGUUAAAAAAGGCCCUGCGACUUACACAACGUAUUUUUUGAAAAUUACUCGAAUUUAAAACAUUCGCAGUGCGUGUUUUAUCGGAUCUAAAGAUACUCGGCUUCGCCUCGUAUCUUUAUAUCUGAUAAAACACUGCUGAUUAUGUUUUAACUCGUACAUUAAGAUAACAAACUUGGUCGAGCCUGACGAGCGUGACUCACGCAUAGACUCACAGCAUAACUCGAGCAUCACUCGCGCAUUGCAAAAAGUAAACAAAGGGAUGCCGCCUCACGCUGAUUGGUCGAG